rnacentral:rRNA from 1 species
UACGUAGGUGGCGAGCGUUAUCCGGAUUUACUGGGUGUAAAGGGCGUGUAGGCGGGUUUGCAAGUCGGGUGUGAAGGAUCCAGGCUUAACUUGGAGAGGUCAUCCGAAACUGCAGAUCUUGAGUGCUGGAGAGGAUAGUGGAAUUCCUGGUGUAGCGGUAAAAUGCGUAGAUAUCAGGAGGAACACCAGUGGCGAAGGCGGCUAUCUGGACAGUAACUGACGCUGAGGCGCGAAAGCGUGGGGAGCAAACAGGAUUAGAUACCCU